CGGGCAGCGCCCUUUCUCCUCGCAGUGAAUCUCCACGCCCGAGAUGAGGUGAUCAUCUGACAGCAUCUGUGCUGUCAGCAGGCCUGACAGCUAAGAAUUACAGAUCACUAUAAUCCAACCAGGGGGAGCAAAGCCAUUUCAGGAGCAGCAGCGCUCAGGUGGAGCUGCACAGGGGAACGCUCAGAGUUCUGAAAAUGAGCUCCCUGCAUGCAAGGAGAGGGCUUGGCAGUGAAUUGGAGAAGCCCUACAAGUUCUUGUAGGCUCAGCCUGGCUUUUAUUACCUACAUAGAACAGGAUAACCUCCCAGGACACUCCUGCAAAGCCUCUGCUUCACUCCUGGGGAAGGGCUUUGCAGGUGACUGCUGCCAGGACGCUCCCAAGGUCCUUUCUGGGAAGAGGAGGAGACUCAGCUGCAGCAGCGAGGAUAUGGGGAUCCCUUAUCAGCCCCUGAAUCUGAACAUGCUGUCACCAGCACUGCUGGCAACUCAGCUGAACCCUGGCAACAUCUGUUUGGGAGCAGAGAGCCUUGGCUGCAAUUGGAAACAUCACAGGAACUUGUGGGAGUUAUUGGUUUGUUUGUCUGAAAUAUGGAUUUAAAAAACAAGAAAAAAUAAAACC